ensembl:lncRNA
AUCUGCUUAAAGACAAACGUGUGAUCAAACUUUGUGUGUGUGUGUGUGUGUGUGUGUACAUUUUUUUUAAAGGUACCACCCCAGUAUCAGCUUUUGGACCUUUUUUUCUGAAAGUGAACCUGUAGUUUUACUUUAAGGCCAUUUAGGGGAAACAAUGUGGUUUGCUAUUCUCAACAUUUACAGAUGCUUGUGUUGUGGUUGUCGCAAGCAGAUCUUAAAAUAAACGAUGCAGUGAGCAAAUAUAUAGGCUAUACCUGCAGCCUCAGAACUGGGGAAAACCUGCUGCUUUGGCCUGAACAAAAUCUUGAUUUCAGUCAAUGUGCAGGUUUGAUGAAAUAGUGGACCCAAAAUUGUUUAUAAUCAAGAACUUGAUUUUCAGUGUAUUUUUGCAACAACUUUGCAAAAUAUGCUAAUUAAGGCAGAGAUUGGUUAGCAGUUUUCCAACAAUAUAUCAGUGCUGUCAUAAGAAGAAACUGCAUGACAUCAGUAGCCUCAUUAAAUACUUAAUAAGUAAGUUGGACAAGAGUCAUUUAUGUCAGUUAUUUUCUAACAGUCACAUGCAUAAUAAUCUGAGGUGCUCUCGCUUUGCUACAGGAUGUGGUAAAAAUGGAAACCUGUUGCUUGAACUGAAGUAAGAAAGUAGUCCAUCAUUUGACUCAAAAAACACAUAACACUCCCAUGCAAAAGAGCUUUAAAUGUUAUCAAAAGCAUCACAAAUCACUUUUUUUCACAGUUUGGUCACAACUGUUUGAUCACUAAUCUGCCAGUAGAAAAUCAUAUGUCAGUUAUAAGUGACGAGGUACUGAUGCUGUGAGAUCGCAGCCCCAGACCACCACAUGUAAGAGUCUGUGCGUGUGUGUUUACAGGAAAUUUCACGUGAAGGACAUCAGCCUACACAUUCUCUGUCUUGGUCUUGCAGCUUUGACACCUUGGAUGUCAUGCAUCAUGCACAUUUCACGUCUUUGGAUAUUUUUUGUUGCUUUGGUGUCUUCAAAUGCUCAGUACCGCAGGAAAACAAGAUGCACAGAGGUCACCGCAAACGCUUCUCUCAAUUCUGAAGUCUUUCUCCCAUGUCAUUUUAAUAUAAGCCAUCUCAAUGAAACCCAGGAAGUGAAGUGGAGCUACUAUUCUGCUAGUCUUGUAAGGAUCAUGAUUAAUGGGAGAAUCUUCUUUGACAAUCCUACUGGACGAGUGAAUGUUUAUCCACUUCUGACUAAACAUGGAAACUUCUCCAUCCUCAUCCAUGAUCUGCAGUCUUCAGACCUCGGCACCUACGAUUGUAAGCUUAAAAGUGAAUGCUGGAUGGUGAAGAUCACUGAACGUCCGCACAGUGAGAUCAGAGAAAUCAAUGAGACAAACCCCUGGAUCUACUUUGCAGCUGGAGCUGGAUUGUUUACUCUCCUUUUUAUUGCAUUCGGCCUGUUAUCAAUAUUCUAUGGAAAGUGUGUGAAUACAUCAUCCAAAUCUGAUCUCAUUAAUGGUGUACAGAGUGAAGGUAUUUCCCCCCAAGAAACACAGAAUACAGGAAACAGUGGACAUGGAGACAUGAGGGGUGUGAGGAGGAACCCCACAACUGUUUAUGAAAAUGACAUACAUGCUCCACAUCCAAGUUCUGCUGCACGGCAGGGGCAACAUCCUCAGAGAGCAUUCCGACCUGCUCCUGAGCCAACUACAAGUCAUCCUUCAAUUGAGAUAUUACCAUAUUAUGUCAACCAGGCGGAGCUCUCCAUUCCAACGAAUGCUGGCAAAAAACGAAGAAGAAAAAAACAAAAUUAUCAGUUUAAAAAUCCAAUAUACAGUGACUGAAGUGAUCAGAAGUCAACGACAGAAUCCAGCUCCACAGAAUCCAGAAUUUCAGACGGUUCAAUAUCUCAAUAAAUGCUGAUGUUUAACAUAGCUCAUGGAAAUCACAUUCAUUUCAUUAAAAUAAAAUCUGUUAAGUGAAAUACACAAAUCCCCCACAAAUCUACUUUAAUGUAUUUAUUUUGAACAUACAAAAUAUGAUGCACACACAUUUUUAACUAACAGCUGCUAGUGAACAGCAUUGAAAACCUGCAGUGAACGCAGCAGUGCUAUGUAAAGCAAAAUAAAUAUGAUCUGCAUUCUUCUGACUUCCAUUUUUCCACGCUUACACUUCCAUGUUGUUUUCUCUAAAAGCACUGCAAGCCUGUGAACUGUGAUUUGCAAGUGAAAACAUCAGCUUAAAGAACUGCAAAACGGAUCUACUGCAUAGAACCAGCCUGUAUGUGUGAAAAAAAAAACUGUUGCAAAUGUCUAAAUGACUUGUUGUGCAUGUGGGGCAAAGAAAUCCCGAAAUAAACCGAUAUGUCCAGCUCCGUCUUUCUAUUUUUUGCGCUUGCAAUUUUGGGGGAGGGCGGGUCCACCUUCUUGUAGCCAAUCACAUGAGACUCUUUUUGACGCUUCAUUUACUCUUAUUUGGUUCAAUAAACACAACAUAUGCCAAAACAUUAAUCUUAAUUUAGUUCAUUCAAUUCAUUUAGUAAAAAAUAAAUAACAGCUUGAUUAAAACAUGACUUUAUUUGUGAAAGUCGUGACAUUUGCCAAGUAUGGUAAUCCAUACUCUGAAUUGGUGCUCUGCAUUUAACCCAUCCAAGUGCACACACACAGCAGCGAGAAGUGAACACCAUGAACACACACCCGGAGCAGUGGGCAGCUAUAUAUCCAGCACCCGGGGAUUCAGUGCUUUACUCAAGGGCACUUCAGUCAGGGGUAUUGAGAGAGUACUGUUCAUUCACUCCCUCCCAUCUACAGCUCCUGCCAGCACCGAGACUCGAACCUUUGACCUUCAGAUAACUAGUCCAAGUCUUUUACCAUUAGGCCACAGCUGCCCCACCUAAUGUAAUGUACCAUUAGGCUACUCGCAUGUUCAUACUGAAGUGGGUUAGUGUAAACAUUAUUGAAUUGGUUUGGCUUUACAUUGAAUUUUCAUAUAAUCUUCAUACACCAUUGAGCUGUUAAACUUACAAUCAAAAUGAUGUUAAUGUGAGAAUGCUCAGCACUAAAGUAUCAGAGUGCUAUACUGUGUAAAACCUUUUUACUAAACCAAUAAAGCUACAUAAAUCUGAAUUAGUCAGCUUUUCAAACCUUGUCUAUGUUUACGGUAUUUAACACUCAAUUGUAUAAUUUUUACAUUUUGAUAAUUCUAAUUACUUUCAUAUGACUGAUCAAGCUAUUAUAGGAAGCAAGUAUGAUCAACAAAAUAGUUUAUUUGUGUCCAGAUUUGACUAGCGCAAAAACUAACACUUCAAAUCAAAAAUUGUAAUUUUGGUAAAAAUUUAUUUAAUGAUGUAUAAAUAUAUAUAUAUAUAUAUAUAUA